GGAAAGCAGCUGUAGAGAAAGGAGAAUGCACAACACCCUCGUCACACGCGCACUCACACGCGCACACCCUCGUUCGCACGCAUUCUGGUACCGUCACCUCGGAGCCGGCAAGACUUGGGAUCCAAAUGAAGUUCUGCUUCCUACCGCCACGAGCACUUCAGCGUCGUCCCCCACGAGCCUCCCUGCCCCCUGCUCCUGAUUCCCUUUCAGGAAUUUACAAACAUUUUCCACAGAUCAAUAUCUGUAUUGAUUAUUCAUUGUGAGUGAGUCGUGUGUCUUUGGUGAUCCAGCUCGCAGAGGUAGCAGCCAAAGCCUGCUGCAGGGGGAAAAAAAAAUAACAGAAGGCGAGAGGGACCCAGCUCUUGCUGGGUCUGCGGCUGUCGGCGACACAGAAAGGAAGAGAAAAAGAGGAAGGCACUUGAAAAAACGAAGGAAUGGACCAGGGUGGAAGAGAAAGAGGGAGCAAUAGCAAGAAAGACCAAGUGAUGAUGGACAUCUGGUUCCAGGGAUCUUGGUGGCUUGGAGGAAACCCCCAUCUUGGUCUGCUGCUCCGUGUAACACGCAGCGGACUCACUCCGCUCUGGGAGUGAGAAGUGACUCACAGUUUUGGUAUCUCCUACGUAAGAGCUUUGGGGGGAUUCCUUGGCUUGCUGACAAGGGAAGGAAGAAAGCAGCAGCAGUGAGGUAAAACACGAUUACUUCCAACUGCCUUGCGGAGGAUAUGCAGUCGCUUGGUUUGACUGGAACAGCUUGCUGCUCUCUGAUGGCACGCGGAGGGAGAAUAAUUAAAAAGGCCAGCAUCACUUACUAAAACUCCACAUCUCAAAUAGGUGGGGGGAAAAGAUAGAAAUCCCCAGAAGAGAGAUCCUGAAUAUAGUAUGAAAGAAAGUUUUUCUAUGGCAUCUGAAAUAACCUCAGCAAGAAAAGGCACCUCAGCAAAUGGUAAAGGGCAGCAAGAAGGACCCCCUUCUCACAUAGUUGUAAGAGGAUCUUCCAAUUUUGCAGAUUCCUAACUAGCCAUCUGCCCUGACAUCUGGGUAAUACAUAUUUGUAGAAACACAGAAGAUUGGAGUUGAAAGACCUGCUCUCGGGCAACCUCCGCAUUGUGAAGAAGAGAAUAUUGGCCAAACAGGAUUAAUCAGUGUGGCAUUCCACAACUAGUAAGGGAAGAAUCAAAAGGGGAAUGCAGCUCUCUGAAGUCCAGUUCACAACUACUUGGCUACUGAAGCCACAAAAGCUGGUGUAAGAUGUAACUUCAUCAGAAUAUCCUUCUUGCAAAAGAUCUGGAGCCACAUUUAAUCUGACAAGGUAACUGACCUACCAGUAAGAAAAAGACAGAUAACUCACCAAAAAGGGGGCAGAUGACUGGAAUAGAGACUUCACACACAAAAAAUAAAUCCAAAUGGCCAAUCAGUGCUUCAAUUCAUUGGAAUUAAGGAAAUGCAAAAUAAGUUGCAAUGAGAGACCACUUCUACACCUCCUGACUUGGCAAAAACUGAAGUCUGGUAAUAACAAGUGCUGGUACGGGUGCCACAGAACAAGGGGACACUCAUACACUGCUGGUGGAAAUGUAAAGAUACUACUUUGGAAAGUAGUUUUGCAUUAAUUAGUAAAGCUGAAUAGAUGCAUGCUCCUUGAUCCCCCCAAAACCCCUGCCAACAACUUAAAGCAGUGGCUCUCAAAGUGCAGUCCCUAUUCCUGGCUAGUAGCAUCAGCAUCACUGGGGAAUUUCUUAGAAAUGUAAACUCUCAAAAGCUACUCAUGUCCCUCUGAAUCAGACACUCUGAGGGUAGAGCCUCAUCAUCUGUGAACCUCCUGGGGAUGGUGAUGAGCUCUCAAGUAGAAGAAGUAUUGCCUGAGAGAAAUCUGUGAGCCUGGGCACAGGACACAUGACAAAAACGUUCAUAGCAGUAACCACGGAUUCAUCAGCAGGAGUAUUUUGUGUUCUAUUUAUGUAACGGAAUAUUGGACUAUAAAGAAAAUGAAUACACUCCAUGGAUAAAGAUUAUAGUCAUCAUGUUGAAGAAAAGAAGCAAGACACAAAUGAAGAGGAAAAAAAAAGCCCUGAAGGAAAGCAAGGAAGUGAUGACCAUAAAAUAUAGGAAAAUGGUGAUCAAUAUUGGAGAAGGAGCUCUGAUCAAGAAUGAAUUUGGAUUGGGGGCUGGAGUUUCUGAAGGGCUGGUAAAUGUCCCAUUCUUUGACCUGGGAGGUGGUUAUAUACUCAUUUGCUUUAUGAUUAUACUAUAAAUUGUAUAUAUUUGCUCUUCCAAAUACAUAUUACAUUUUACAGUAAAAAUAAACUUUUGUAUCUACCACAGCUUUCAUUGUUGCUAUCAAAAUCAAAUUUAACCAGAUUAUAAUCUGCCUAACUUCGUAAGUCUGCUUGAUUCUCCUUCCCAUUAUAAGACACUCUUCCAUAACAUCACUACUCCUGUUCUCUCUCCUUUUUUUUUUUUUUUCUCUUCCAGCUAGGUAAAGACAAUUGGGGACAGACUCUAAGACAACAAUUUAUAUCAGCCUAAGUUAUUAUCCCUUCCUCUCCCUAAAUAUGUGAGGAGUCUAAGAGCAACCAGUCUUCUCAAUAAGUGAGGGUAGUAUCAGCCACACGAUACAAGGUUCUAUUGUGACUUUGCUGUUUAUUUGCAACCUUCUUUAGUGAUUGUUGCUAGACUUAAUUCAUGCACAGUUAGAUGGGAAGAAAUAACAUAUUGGAUCUUUUAAGUAUAAGAGUAAUAUAGACAUUGGUUGGCUCAUACUUGAGUUGUCUAAGUUUAAAGCAGAACCUUCUUUUCAAAUAAUUUUGAAGUCAGGUCCUUAUUUUUGUUGUACUUCAAUUAAGACAGGUGUACUUUGCCCCCAGGUCUAUGAAGAUUGCAUUGAUAGCCAUUUACCCUUCCAUGGAUAAUAUCAUUCUUUCAUCAACAGUAAUGAUCAUGUGAGUACUAACACUUAAAAAAAUAUAGCUAUAUAUCAUAAUACAACAUACCAAGCACAAUGCUUGUACACAGCAGAUGCUGAGUGGA